CUGAAAAAACAAUCAUUUGCAAAAAGGUUUAUUUACUUGCCGGAGAAGUUAGGUCAAACGGGUUAUUUUAGUUGGAAUAUUCAAUUGAAUUUAGUUUUAAACCAAACCACAAAAUAGAGAAACAGAGAAUCGAAAAUACUACUAAAAUCUAAUUAGGUGUAAGUGACGUUACCUCGCCACCGGUGGCAAAGCUAAGGAGGAAACAAGCGGCGACGGAGCCAAGAAGCUGAGCAAUCCAGUAGAGAAUACCACGGAGGAGAGUGAUGUUACCACCGAGUAAGACACCGAAGGUAACGGCAGGGUUAACGUGGCCACCGGAAAUGUUAGCGCCAACAGAGACAGCGACAAAGAGACCGAAAGCAUGAGCUAAGGCAGCGGCGACGAGGCCGGAAGGAGUGGUUGCUCCAUUGUCAGUGAUCUUGUUGAAAGCAAUUCCGGAGCCUGAGCCGGCGAAGACGAAGAUCAAAGUCGAGAUAAACUCAGCGAGCGCCGCCCUAAGUGCGUUGGGGUGAUAGACCUCUUCUUGGACUCCACCAAUGGCGAUGUUUCUGGUCGGCAUG
rnacentral:lncRNA from 1 species